CGACUCUGUGCGACCCCAUGGACUGCAGCCUACCAGGCGUCUCCGUCCAUGGGAUUCUCCAGGAGGAGGUCUACAAGAGACUGUGGCUAUCAGUUGAUCUGAGAGCUGGAUCUCUUCAUCUUUGGAUUCUUCCUUCUGCCCAACAUUUCCACAGCUGGAGGUGUUUUAAGGAAUCGCCUUGAGUCAGCAAGGUGUUGGGCUUCCCUGGAGGCUCAGUGAUGAAGAAUCUGCUUGCCAAUGGAGGAGACACAGGUUUGAUCGCUGGUCUGUGAAGAUCCGACAUUCUACGGAGCAACUAAGCCCGUGGGUCACAACUCCUGAGCCCACGUGCUCUAGGGUCCAGGAACCACAACUUCUGAAGUCUGCGCACUCUAGAACUUGUGCUUUGUGCAAGAGAAGCCAUGCAGUUAGAAGACCCUGCACCUCAACCAGAGAAAAGCCCAUGCAGCAAUUAGGACCCAGCACAGCCAAACACAAAGUAAAUCAAUCAGUGAAAAUUCAGAUACGGUCUUUUCAGAUGAGAGAACAAGGAAAGCAAUUGGAAUAUAACAUGUUAGUUAUCUAUUUCUGCUGAAUGACAAUUACCACAAAUUUAGUGACUUUACACAAAAACACAUUUACUAUUUCACUGUUUCGGUAGAUCAGGAAUCUAGGCAUAGCUUGUCUGGGUCUUCUUUAUGUUUAUUUAUUACUUUUGUGGGGGAGAGUCUUUAGAAUUCACAAGGCUGCAAUUUAAGGUACUGGCCAGGACUACAGUCUCAUCUGAUGCCUUAAUGAGGGAGAGCCAGGGAAGAGUGCCUAGAUCCCUGACCGAAUAAAGCUUCUUGUGGUUUUAA